rnacentral:rRNA from 1 species
GACGAACGCUGGCGGCGUGCUUAACACAUGCAAGUCGAACGGAAAGGCCCUGCUUUUGUGGGGUGCUCGAUUGGCGAACGGGUGAGUAACACGUGAGUAACCUGCCCUUGACUUUGGGAUAACUUCAGGAAACUGGGGCUAAUACCGGAUAGGAGCUCCUGCUGCAUGGUGGGGUUUGGAAAGUUUCGGCGGUUGGGGAUGGACUCGCGGCUUAUCAGCUUGUUGGUGGGGUAGUGGCUUACCAAGGCUUUGACGGGUAGCCGGCCUGAGAGGGUGACCGGGGAAAAUGGGAAGGAGAGACGGAACAGAAGGAAAAGGGAGGCAGCAGGGGGGAAUAGUGAAAAAAGGGAGGAAGGAAGAGGAAGAAAAGCAGGGAGCGGGAAGAAGGGAAUGGGGGUGUAAAAAGAAGUAGAAUGAGACGAAGAGUGAGUGACGGUAAUGGGUAAAGAAGCAACGGCUAACUACGUG